rnacentral:rRNA from 1 species
AGUGAACGCUGGCGGCGUGCUUAACACAUGCAAGUCGAACGCGAAAGGGGAGCAAUCCCCGAGUAGAGUGGCGAACGGGUGAGUAAUGUGUGGGUAAUUUGCCUUUCAGCGGGGGAUAACUCGGGGAAACCUGAGCUAAUACCCCAUAAUGUUGCUUGAUCUUCGGGUCGAGUAAUCAAACGAUGGCCUCUGCUUGCAAGCUAUCGCUGAAAGAUGAGCCCANAUCCUAUCACGCUUGUUGGUGGGGUAAUGGCCUACCAAGGCGACGACGGGUAGCCGGCCUGAGAGGGUGUACGGCCACACUGGAACUGAGACACGGUCCAGACUCCUACGGAGGCAGCAGUGGGAAUUUUCGCAAUGGGCGAAAGCCUGACGAAGCAACGCCGCGUGUAGGAU